AUCCANGAGGCAGCAGGCGCGUAAUUACUCAAUGUUGACUCGACGAAGUAGUGACGAGAAAUACACAUGCGGUGCACUCAGUGUAUUGCAAUGUGAAUGAGAGCAAUGUAAAAGCCUCAUCGAGGAUCAAUUGGAGGGCAAGUCUGGUGCCAGCAGCCGCGGUAAUUCCAGCUCCAAUAGCAUAUAUUAACGUUGUUGCAGUUGAAAAGCUCGUAGUUGAACUUUUGGUAUGGGCGACCUGGCCUUGGGCGCAUGCCCUUGUUUUGCCGUGUGUCGUACCUGGCCAUCCUUCACAUUUUUUUUUUUGGGGGGGGGUUCUUUUACGGGAAUUAAAUUGGAUGCCCCAAAACAAAAGUUUUGUUGGUACCACCAAGCAAGGAAAAAAAAGAAUAGAACCGGUUACUUAUUUUUUUGGUUGCCUAGCUAAGGAAAGAUAAACAGGAACGGUGGGGGGUAUUCUAAUUUAAUNGCAGAAGUUAAUUUCUUGAUUUUAGGAAAACGAAACGACGGCAAUGCCUUUUCCAAGGUGGUUUUCUUAAUCNAAAACNAAGGUAGGGGAUCGAAAUGANAUUCCCUCCC
rnacentral:rRNA from 1 species